rnacentral:rRNA from 1 species
GAUGAACGCUGGCGGCGUGCCUAAUACAUGCAAGUCGAGCGAACAGACGAGGAGCUUGCUCCUCUGACGUUAGCGGCGGACGGGUGAGUAACACGUGGAUAACCUACCUAUAAGACUGGGAUAACUUCGGGAAACCGGAGCUAAUACCGGAUAAUAUAUUGAACCGCAUGGUUCAAUAGUGAAAGACGGUUUUGCUGUCACUUAUAGAUGGAUCCGCGCCGCAUUAGCUAGUUGGUAAGGUAACGGCUUACCAAGGCAACGAUGCGUAGCCGACCUGAGAGGGGGACCGGCCACACGGGAAGGGAAACAGGGCCCGGACACCACGGGGAGGCGGGAGUGGGAAAUAUUCGGCAAGGGGCGAAAGCCUGAGGAGGAAAGGCGGGGGGGGUGAGGAAGGUUUUGGAAUCGAAAAACUCUGUUAUAAGGAAAGAAAAAAUGUGAAAGAAACUAGGCGCUUGUAGGGGGUGCAAAAAAGAAAGGCCCGGGCAAGGUACGGG